AGGGUUUGAUCAUGGCUCAGAACGUACGCUGGCGGCACGCCUAACACAUGCAAGUCGAACGAAGUAGCAAUACUUAGUGGCAGACGGGUGAGUAACAUGUGGGUAUCUGCCCUUUGGCCUGGAAUAACACGAGGAAACUUGUGCUAAUACCGGAUAAGUCUUUACGGAGAAAGCUUUAUGCACCAUUGGAUGAGCCUGCACUUGAUUAGUUUGUUGGUGGGGUAAUGGCCUACCAAGACUGUGAUCAAUAGCUGAUUUGAGAGGAUGAUCAGCCACAUUGGGACUGAGACACGGCCCAAACUCCUACGGGAGGCAGCAGUGGGGAAUCUUGCACAAUGGAGGAAACUCUGAUGCAGCGAUGCCGCGUGAGUGAAGAAGGCCCUUGGGUUGUAAAGCUCUUUCGUCGGGGAAGAAAAUGACUGUACCCGAAUAAGAAGGUCCGGCUAACUUCGUGCCAGCAGCCGCGGUAAUACGAAGGGACCUAGCGUAGUUCGGAAUUACUGGGCUUAAAGAGUUCGUAGGUGGUUGAAAAAGUUGGUGGUGAAAUCCCAGAGCUUAACUCUGGAACUGCCAUCAAAACUUUUCAGCUAGAGUAUGAUAGAGGAAAGCAGAAUUUCUAGUGUAGAGGUGAAAUUCGUAGAUAUUAGAAAGAAUACCAAUUGCGAAGGCAGCUUUCUGGAUCAUUACUGACACUGAGGAACGAAAGCAUGGGUAGCGAAGAGGAUUAGAUACCCUCGUAGUCCAUGCCGUAAACGAUGUGUGUUAGACGUUGGAAUUUAUUUUCAGUGUCGCAGCGAAAGCGAUAAACACACCGCCUGGGGAGUACGACCGCAAGGUUAAAACUCAAAUGAAUUGACGGGGACCCGCACAAGUAGUGGAGCAUGUGGUUUAAUUCGAAGAUACGCGCAGAACCUUACCAACACUUGACAUGUUCGUCGCGACUUUAAGAGAUUAAAGUUUUCGGUUCGGCCGGACGAAACACAGGUGCUGCAUGGCUGUCGUCAGCUCGUGUCGUGAGAUGUUGGGUUAAGUCCCGCAACGAGCGCAACCCUCACUUUUAGUUGCCAUCAUUAAGUUGGGCACUCUGAAAGAACUGCCAGUGAUAAGCUGGAGGAAGGUGGGGAUGACGUCAAGUCCUCAUGGCCCUUACGUGUUGGGCUACACACGUGCUACAAUGGUAUCUACAACAGGAAGCAAGACGGCGACGUCAAGCAAAUCCUUAAAAGAUACCUCAGUUCGGAUUGCACUCUGCAACUCGAGUGCAUGAAGCUGGAAUUACUAGUAAUCGUGGAUCAGCGUGCCACGGUGAAUGCGUUCCCGGGUCUUGUACACACCGCCCGUCACACCAUGGGAGUUGGUUCUACCUUAAGGCAAGGCUUUAAACCCUUGACCACGGUAUAGUCAGCGACUGGGGUGAAGUCGUAACAAGGUAGCC
rnacentral:rRNA from 1 species